rnacentral:tRNA from 1 species
GCAUUCGUGGUGUAGUGGUCAGCACGCUCGACGCGUAACCGAGAGGUCCGUGGUUCGAUUCCCGGCGAAGCG